rnacentral:rRNA from 1 species
GAUGAACGCUGGCGGCGUGCUUAACACAUGCAAGUCGAACGGACAGACGAGGAGCUUGCUCCUCGGACGUUUGCCGCGGACGGGUGAGUAACACGUGGAUAACCUCCCUGCAUGCAUGAGAUAACUUCGGAAAACGGGAUCCAACACCGGACAAUAUACUGAACCGCAUGGUUCAAUAGUGAAAGACGGUUUUGCUGUCACGAAUAGAUGGUUCCGCGCUGUCUUGGCUAGUUGGUAAGGAAACGGCCUACCAAGGCGACGAUGCGUAGCCGACCUGUGAGAAGGAGCGGCCACACUGGAACUGAGACACGGACCAGACUCCUACGGGAGGGAGCAGUGGGGAAUUGUGGGCAGUGGGCGCAAGCCUGGCAGAGCAAGGCCGCGUGAGAGAUAAAGGUGUUCGGAUCGGAAAACUCUGUUUUUAGGGAAGAACAGGUUUGUGACUAUAUGUGGGCGUCUUGACGGUACCUGAUCAGAAAGCCCCGGCUAACUACGUG